AUUCAGAUGAUGAAUUUAACUGUUCAACUGCUGUCUGAUACAGAUGAACGAAAGCUUAAUUCUGACAGCU
rnacentral:ncRNA from 15 species